AUCUAGCUGACAAGUCCCAAAUAAAACGAAACCCGCGACCUGGAU
rnacentral:hammerhead_ribozyme from 1 species